rnacentral:rRNA from 1 species
CCUACGGGUGGCAGCAGUGAGGAAUAUUGGUCAAUGGUCGGGAGACUGAACCAGCCAAGCCGCGUGAGGGAUGAAGGUACAGAGUAUCGUAAACCUCUUUUGUCAGGGAACAAAGGCGGGGACGCGUCCCCGGAUGAGUGUACCUGAAGAAAAAGCAUCGGCUAACUCCGUGCCAGCAGCCGCGGUAAUACGUAGGUGGCAAGCGUUAUCCGGAUUUAUUGGGUGUAAGGGGCGUGUAGGCGGGAAAGCAAGUCAGAUGUGAAAACUCAGGGCUCAACCCUGAGCCUGCAUUUGAAACUGUUUUUCUUGAGUGCUGGAGAGGCAAUCGGAAUUCCGUGUGUAGCGGUGAAAUGCUUAGAUAUCACGAAGAACUCCGAUUGCGAAGGCAGCUCACUGGACUGCAACUGACACUGAGGCUCGAAAGUGUGGGUAUCAAACAGGAUUAGAUACCCCAGUAGUC